ACGAACGCUGGCGGCGUGCUUAACACAUGCAAGUCGAACGGUGAAGCUCCAGCUUGCUGGAGUGGAUCAGUGGCGAACGGGUGAGUAACACGUGAGCAACCUGCCCCUGACUCUGGAAUAGGCGCUGGGAACGGCGUCUAAUACUGGAUACGAGAAGGGUCCGCAUGGGCACUUUCUGGAAAGUUUUUCGGUUGGGGAUGGGCUCGCGGCCUAUCAGCUUGUUGGUGAGGUAAUGGCUCACCAAGGCGACGACGGGUAGCCGGCCUGAGAGGGCGACCGGCCACACUGGGACUGAGACACGGCCCAGACUCCUACGGGAGGCAGCAGUGGGGAAUAUUGCACAAUGGGCGAAAGCCUGAUGCAGCGACGCCGCGUGAGGGAUGACGGCCUUCGGGUUGUAAACCUCUUUCAGCAGGGAAGAAGCGAAAGUGACGGUACCUGCAGAAGAAGCACCGGCUAACUACGUG
rnacentral:rRNA from 1 species